UACGUAGGGGGCAAGCGUUGUCCGGAAUUAUUGGGCGUAAAGAGCGUGUAGGCGGUCCGGUAAGUCAGCUGUGAAAGUCAAGGGCUCAACCCUUGAAAGCCGGUUGAUACUGCCGGGCUAGAGUCCGGAAGAGGCGAGUGGAAUUCCCGGUGUAGCGGUGAAAUGCGCAGAUAUCGGGAGGAACACCAAUGGCGAAGGCAGCUCGCUGGGACGGUACUGACGCUGAGACGCGACAGCGUGGGGAGCAAACAGG
rnacentral:rRNA from 1 species